CAAGUACUGUUCUCCCCAUUUACAGAAGAGAACACUGAAUCACAAAGAACAAGGGAGUUGUCUAGGUGACCCAGCUGGGCAAGGCAGAGCAUAGAUUUGAACAUGGAUGAGAAAUCGUUUGUGCAGUCAAGAAAUGUGUGCUGAGCACAGGUGGGCCAGGCCUUAAGGACAUGAGAGAGAUCUGUUCUUCUAGAGAUAACACCUCUUACACAAUGAGCCAGGAAAAGGUAAGCAGCAAUAAAAGAUGAAACAGCGCCAAAGCCCAGGUCAGGCUGUGGUUGGCACAGUCAGGAGGCUGGCUGAAAGAAGCAGGAGGGUGCGCGGCGGAAGUCAGGUGCAGGGAACAGAAGCCACUCCAGCUGUGUGACAGACAGCAUCCAGUGGAAGGAACUAGCGUCUGAGACACCGCUGAAGGGCUCGAGCAGAGGACUGGGACUGGACCCUCUGGGAAGCACACAUCUAGCCCCACAGAACUUGUCUGCCAGGUGGCUGCCUCUUUCAGCUACGUAAAAACCACCUAAGACUUACCAUCUUAACCAUUUUUAAGUGUGCAGCUUGAUAGUGUUAACUAAAUGCACAUGGUUGUGCAACAGAU